rnacentral:rRNA from 1 species
CAGCAGCCGCGGUAAUACGUAGGGUGCAAGCGUUAAUCGGAAUUACUGGGCGUAAAGCGUGCGCAGGCGGUUAUGUAAGACAGUUGUGAAAUCCCCGGGCUCAACCUGGGAACUGCAUUUGUGACUGGCGAGCUAGAGUAUGGCAGAGGGGGGUAGAAUUCCACGUGUAGCAGUGAAAUGCGUAGAGAUGUGGAGGAAUACCGAUGGCGAAGGCAGCCCCCUGGGCCAAUACUGACGCUCAUGCACGAAAGCGUGGGGAGCAAACAGGAUUAGAUACCCCCGUAGUCCCUGUCUCUUAUAC